GGUGCUGAAUCAGAAUUACAGCAGGAACAAACAGGCCACACACGCAACAUGAGUGUGUGUGAGUGUGCGUGUACUUGAGAGAGGAGGGGGAAAAAAAAUCACGGAUCCCCUCCAAAGGAAAAAAAAAAAAAAAAAAAAAAAGAAAAGAAAAAGGAAACGUGUGCGAUUGGUUUAGUCCAACAGCUCCGCUGAAUGAACGCUUUCUUCUAAGCAACAACUUUUCUUCCCUCUGCGGUCAGUUUGACGCGUCAGCCCGGCGCACCCACCGCACAUCCAGCCCCGGGACCGGAGACCCGGACACCCGCACACCGAGCCCUGCUGCAGCCCGGUCCUGGAUGCACCGCGGAUGCAGUGAACUUCAUGUGGGGACUUUGUCCGGGACUAAAGAAAGCAGCGGGACCUCCAUACCCGGCGCUCUUUACGCACAGAAAGGAAGAAGAAAGAAGAAAAGGAGGGCUGUACUUUCAGGCUGCUCGGGACACACCCAGCUGAAUGUCCAGCCGCAGGCUCGGAGCGAGGCGUGUGUGUGUGGAAAACAGCCGGGCGGAAUCACAACCAGUGCUCGAUAAACGCU
rnacentral:lncRNA from 1 species